GUAUUUUGUGUUAGACACGCCUCUGACAUGUAUAGUAAAUUCCAUAUGCAGUAUGAAAAUAUUCCUUACUCUACAUGUCAAAUGCAUGUCUGUCGGUUAUAUUUCUAUCUGAAUGAAUGUUCUCAUUGUGUCCUACUGAACAAGGCCCAGGUGUUGACAUAGCCUAGGCAGCCGCUAGUGGGCUUCCAUAAAGAUAGUGGCCCACUAUCUUUAUGGAAGCCCACUAGCGGCUGCCUAGGCUAUGUCAACGCCAUAAAGAAGAAGCCCACUAGCGGCAGCCCAGUGUCGACAGCUCCAGGCCGAAGUAGUUAGCUGUUCUGGUGAAGGGCACCUGUUAGCAAUCGAGUUGGAAGGUGUGUCUUGGCUUUCUCCGUGCACGUUUGAGUUGUUAGUAACUUAGCUGUAACUUCUCACAAACAAAGCAAAUCAAACCACCGUAGCUCGACAACAUAAAUUGACCAGCGCGUGUGAAGUGCAUACAUUUCACUCAAAAUACUCACUCGGCUGCUCUCGAUGGAACGAAUGAUGUUUUGAAGGAUGGAAAAACUGAGCUAGCUAUGGUUAACAGUUAGAGUUCGCUCUAACUUACGCUGUGGCUAUUUGUACUCGGCUGUAAUUGUUAGUGAAUCGACCUUAAUAAAUGUGUCUGCAUCUCUAAAUCAUGAUACUCUCAACGAAAUCGCCAUUACUAACUAACCCGUGGGAUGGCACUUGUUACACGUUUUUGGAUAUAAAUUGAUUGAGUGAACGGGUUAAAAUUCCCAUUCAAGAAGAACCACGACACGCCCCUCCCUGUCUGAUCUAAACUGUCGACACCCAGCACUGUAACGUUAAUUGUUGCUUUUUCUUCGUGAGACAAUUCAACAUUUUUAAUUUUUGUUACAAUGAACUAAAACAUAGAGCCUCUAGCAAUUUAUAUUUUUAAUUGUGCUAAAUAUUUGGAUAAACUUAAAUAAAAAAAAGUACUAUACAUUUUAACGCUUUAAAUCCGAGAGUGACUUUCUCGAGCGGAGACGAUGACAGGUCAGGUUUAUUUUCAUCUUUCGAAGAAAACAAAGUUCAGUUCCAUAACAAUGACAUUUAAUGGGAAAGCAAAGGUACAGUGGACAACACAAAGACGACCCGAGUCCACUCGGCAAAGCUGGAAUUCUUCAACGUCUCAAGUCGUAUUGCAAGAAAAUAACGGAACUUCCCCUCUUCUUUCCAUGGGGCGCAUGGCAGUAUAAUCUACUCCAUGAAGGUGGAGAUACACAGGCCCUGGCAUCUAACCAAGGCGUUUGAGACAGAGUUCAACUUUGCCACCUACAUAGACACCAACCAACCACAUCUUCUGGCUCCUUUGGCAGGCAGCAACACUAAGACCCUGUGCUGCCUCUGGUGUGCCUCAGGGUCCAUCUCAAUGACCGUCCACACUGAGAGGAAUGGCUUUGUCCCCGAUGGUGAAAAUAAUCUGAGUUUAAUAAUGGCUCAUCUCAGACGGUGACUCCACAUGCCACCCGCAUCCAGAAGCAGAUGAUUUACACCCACAACAAGUGCAACAGGAUGAUGCAGAGGGAAAAACCUGGUCUCAGUGAAUGGUCAGCCGGUCAACCCCAGUAGCUCUGAGGUCUAAAGCAAUAUGAUGCUUCCCAUCCCUCCCAAAACUGCUCUCACAAUCUCCAACUGUCCUAUACUGGAGUUGGAUUACACUGUGGAUGUGUGUCUACGUGUCAGAGUUUCCUCUGACCUAAAGGUGCUGUUCCCCAUCGUGCUGUGUAAUGUUCAUGCUUCCCAACCUCCCCCUCCAUAUCAGUAGGAGUAGCAGUUGGAUCCUAUUAGAGAUUGCAUAGCCUCUCACAACUUCCCGUAACCAAAGUUAUGUCUGUCAGGAACAUAGGGGAUAUGAGGGUUACUAGGAACAAUUCUUCCGGUGCGCUUGUUUUUUCUUCACUGAUUAUUUGAACAAAUCACAGGGUUCAUUUGGCCCAUAGACCAGUUAAGAGGAUUUCAGAGGAGCGGGUGUGGACUUUGCCACUCCUAUUAAGCCAAACAUCUUAACACUCCCCAGUACAAAAUCCAGUAGCUGGCCGGAGACCAGCUUUCACGCAAGAUUUUGUUCCGAGAUUAGACACUGCCAAAAACCUUUUUAAAAUGGGGUUUCCAAUUCUAUAAUUUUAUAUGUUGUUGAUCGUUAGAAUUGUCAUCAACUGGCAUGUCAAAACUUCCUUCCAUAUGACAUUGCCUGAUUGCAUUGCCUCUUUCCACUGUGGGAGUCGAGUGCAAAAUGCUCACUAUAGACAUUACUGCUUAGAAAAUGAAGUGCUCAGAAUUCAUGACUUUUUAAAACUUACAUUUCAGCCCCUUUUCCGUUUCUUAUUCAGCUCCUUCGGGGUCAUGAGAUGAGAAACUAGUGGGACACUGUUAGGGGGCUAACUCCGACUACAGCUGAUAAGGACUCAACUUGCUCUAACAAGUCUUACAACACAACAAAUUGUAGGAUUUAUGUGAAAAGCCUCUUAAUAAGGUUGAUUUGUGAGUUGCAGAAAUAGUUCUCAUGUUUUUACUUCAUAUGGUAUCAGAUUCUUUUUUUAUAUUUUAUGCUUGAACUUUUAAAAGGUGUUUCUGUUACAUGACUAUUUCUGUUACAUUUUAAAACACAUAGUUUAUUUACAGUUGUAUAUAUACAUUUCUUAUUACUUACAUACCAAUGUAUAUGUAUGCAAUGGUGCCUUGCCAUCCUUCAAUGCUUAACACUAGAACCGUUAGGCCUUGACGGGUGCAACUUGUUCGCCAAUGAGACUGUAGUAAAGAAAUUGUCUAUGGUGAUAUUUUGCCAGCAGCAUACCACCCUGCAUCCCACUACUGGCUUGCUUCUGAAGCUAAGCAGGGUUGGUCCUGGUCAGUCCCUGGAUGGGAGACCAGAUGCUGCUGGAAGUGGUGUUGGAGGGCCAGUAGGAGGCACUCUUUCCUCUGGUCUAAAAAAAAAACAAAUAUUCCAAUGCCCCAGGGCAGUGAUUGGGGACAUUGCCCUGUGUAGGGUGCCGUCUUUCGGAUGGGACGUUAAACUGGUGUCCUGACUCUCUGAGGUCAUUAAAGAUCCCAUGGCACUUAUCGUAAGAGUAGGGGUGUUGACCCUGGUGUCCUUGUUAAAUUCCCAAUCUGGCCCUCAAACCAUCAUGGUCACCUAAUAAUUUCCAAUUGGCUCAUUCAUCCCCCUCCUUGCCCCUGUAACUAUUCCCCAGGUUGUUGCUGCAAAUGAGAAUGUGUUCUCAGUCAACUUACCUGGUAAAAUAACGGAUAAAUAAAAUAUUUCUCCUCUUGCCAAUGUAAGAUUUCACAAGCCUCAUAACCACAUUCUGUCACUCGCUCACCUGCUGCCCAAUGUGGAUCUUUUCCAAGAUAUGGAAAGCCAUUCAGCAUGUACUUGGUGUCGGUGUCAGCGGCUAACCAAAUCUUAAUUUCAAACUUGUCGGGUUAACUCUCAAUGUAUUGCAUAAAGCCGUAAUGAGGUUUUGGGGUAUACAUGGCUGUGACUAUAAUCGAAGAGGAUGCUCUUGGGAGAUAAUGCGGUCGGCAUUUGAUUGUAAGGAAUUCUAGGUCAGGUGAACAAAAGGACUUGUUCCUGUAUGUUAUGAUUACACCAUGAGUCGUUAAUCAUAAGGCAUACACCCCCGCCUUUCUUCUUACCAGAGAGAUGUUUGUUUCUGUCGGCGCGAUGCAUGAAGAAAGUGGGUCGCUGUACCAACUCUGACAACAUAUCCCGAGUGAGCAAUGUUUCUGUGAAACAGAGAAUGUUAGAAUCUCUGAUGUCUCUCUGGAAGGAAAAGCAGUCAUCAAGUGCUUAGCAAAUGUGGGAACUCCUUUAAGACUGUUGGGAAAGCAUUCCAGGUGACUACCUCAUGAAGCUGGUUGAGAGAAUGCCAAGAGUGUGCAAAGCUGUCAAGGCAAAGGGUGGCUACUUUGAAGAAUCUCAAAUAUAAAAUAUAUUUUGAUUUAACACUUUUUAGUUACUACAUGAUUCCAUGUGUUGUUUUAUAGUUUUGAUGUCUUCACUAUUAUUCUACAAUGUAGAAAAUAGUACAAAUAAAGAAAAACCCUUGAAUGAGUAGGUGUGUCCAAACUUUUGACUGGUACUGUAAGAAUUCACACCCCUGAGUAAAUACUUUGUCAAAGCACCUUUGGCAGCGAUUACAGUCUUUUUGGGUAAGUCUCUAAGAGCUUUCCACAUCUGGAUUGUGCCACAUUUGCCCAUUUAUUCUUUCCAAAUUGUCAAACUGGUUGUUCGUGAUUGCUAGACAACCAUUUUCAGGUCUUGCCAUAACUCGGCCACUCACUGUCUUCUUGAUAAGCAACUCCAGUGUAGAUUUGGUCUUGUGUUUUAGGUUAUUGUCCUGCUGAAAGGUGAAUUCAUCUCCCAGUGUCUGGUGGAAAGCAGACUGAACCAGGUUUUUGUCUAGGAUUUUGCCUGAUCACAACAAAAUGUGGAAUAAGUCAAGGGGUGUGAAUACUUUCUGAUGGGACUGUAUGUAGUGUAGGAUUAGUUGUGUUAUUCCUUCUCUGUAUAAAAAUUGGGCUGGUGUGGGGGUCUUGAGGAAAAACAUGGGCUGGUGUGGGGGCCUCAAGGAAUAAAAUGGGUAAGUGUGUUAGAAAUGC
rnacentral:lncRNA from 1 species